CGACCCCAGGUCAGGCGGGRACACCCGCUGAGUUUAAGCAUAUCAA
rnacentral:rRNA from 1 species